AAAAAGAGAGAGAGAGAAAAAAAAAGAACACAGAGAGAUCGAACCUUCCAAAACCCUAAUCGAUUGAUUUCGAUUCAAUUUUAAAACCCAAUCAAUCAAUUUCGAAGCAAAAUUUCCACCAAUUCGUCGGUGUUUUCUUCUUACAGGUCAGUUUCUUUUUAGAUUCUUUAAAUCUUCUUGGUUUCUAAUUCUCAAACUGUUCUUUUUCUCUUCUUUGAUUUGUUUGAUUUAGUGUGAAAGGUAGGAUUUUUCUUGCUAUAUUCUUGAUUAUCUUGUUUCUGUUGUGGAUCGAUUAGAGAUUUUGUUCCGACUUCAAAAAUUAGGGAUUUAGGUGUUGAAUUAUGGAUCCGAUUAUCUCGUUUUCUUCUCUUUGACAUUUUUCUUGUUUUGUUUUGUUUAAUUGUUGAUCUAGGGUUUGUUAGUAGAGAUAUUUAGUGCUUAGCAGAAAUGAUUCAGUUUGUUGGCAUGAUAAUGCACAUUCUUGAUAUCAAAGCCACUCUCUUUCUCUUGGUCGGGAAAUUUGAAGACGUAGGAGAAUCAUAACCGUUUGUUCUAAUUGUUGUAUGUUUAUAGUUUUAAGUUUUAACAGCUAUUUGGUGGACUAUCUUCUGGUCCUGAGUUGGCUUUGAUUGUUUUUUCUAGGAUAGGAUUAGUAUGUUCUUGUAGGUAGACAACUGUUCCGUUAAACUGGAAAUGGUGUCACGCUCAUUGUAGAGUUUAGAUACACAGCAUUAUCAUCCAUUGAAACAAAAAACCAAUCACAAUUUAAAAGUAAAAAUUAUAUCUAUAUCAAUGCCAAACCUGAAGUUCUUCAAUAUCAUCUUGAUAAUUCACCUUAAAAGUGAGGAUUUUCGUGUCUUCAGCAGCUGUAAUGUGUGGCAUUGUGUGCACAUUAGGAUUCAUUCCUUCUGGGGGCACAUUACCAGAACAUAAAUGGUUUUUCGAAUUUGACUCCAGCUCCCACUCUUCUAGCUCAGAAACCAAAUUGCUGAGUUUUCUUAAAUCUUUGGAGCUCCCUGCCUCCUCAAUUAGCAUUUCACCCAAUGGUGGUUGUUGUGUCAUAAAAGGAACUUCAGGAGUUGAAUGGGAAGCAAAUAUAUUAAAUUGUUCACUUGGUUGAGGCUUCACACCCAAGAAAGACCUAUUACUUUCACCUGGUUCUUGGACAGAAGAAAUAAACACAUCAUUUGUGAUAGUAGUUUCAUUUAUGGGACUACCUUGGCAUGAACCAUGAGAAAUAGGGGUCUCUGUGCUCUCCUCCCCUGAACCACUUCUAAUUUUUAUAAAGCUUGAACUUUUACCGAACUCUGAAUGCAAACCCCCAGGAUUAAGAAAUUGUUCCUGGUGGGGUUGACAGGUCAUCCAUUUCAAGUAUUUUGAUCCCUAUCUUACCAUCAUAAGUUUCUGGUUCCCUAGGGGUUGAUAAAUUUGUCUCCUUUCCCCUCUGAAAUUCAAAGAGAUUGGGAUCUGUUGAGUGUUGUUCUUUGGGUCCAUUUAAACAGACAGGCCAAGAUAAUGAACCUACCAAGAUAGGGCCUGGCAUCAACCAUCCCUAUCACAUUCAGCACCAAAUCUGGAAUUAUGACAUGUGUUUGGAGCAACAUUUUUUACUAGGAAAUGGCUGAAUCAAAGCAUAAUGCUAAUCCAAAUGUUGACAAAUCUGUAACUUAAGAUGUACUCUGCAUUAAUUAAAGCUCUAUUUAAAUCAUUUUAGGGUUUGAUUUGUUACUUUGGUCUCCCGACAGGCAUUAUGAACAUGGGGGACCCAUCUAAACUAAACCCUAAACCCUAAAACCUUAAACCCUAAACUGUAAAACCUAAAACCCUAAACCCUAAACCCUAAAACCUUAAACCCUAAAAUCCUAAAACCCUAAAACCUAAACCCUAAAACCUUAAACCCUAAACCCUAAAACCUAAAACCCUCAACUCUAAACCCUAAAUUUUAGGCUAAUGGAAGAAAUUACAAAGAAGAUAACAAAGAAUAGAAGAAC
rnacentral:lncRNA from 1 species